CACAAUUAGGGCAGGUGAAUAAACUUGUUUGGGGGGUGUUAAUUACAUGCUUAACGUAAACAAAAGCCAUGUAAAAGAAUGUGAAUUACCAGUGGCUUUUUCCUCCUGAAUCCCCAUUCAGGUUUUACAUUUCACCUCUGGUCUCUUCUCGGAGUGAUUUCCGAAGUGCCUGCGAGGGCUUCUCCCUCCUAAACAUAAUGCUGGAUAAUACCUGCAGCCCCGGCUUGAAUGGUGAUCACCUAAAUUGGUGCACCGUGGAACCCGGGCAGGUAUGGGAGGCUUUGCAUAUUCGGAGUGGUGCGGCUAAGCCUGCACUCUCAACUUCAUUUUGGGGUCGUGCGUGCAUGCGUGUGCGUGUGUGGGAGAGAGAAGAGGGAGAGAUUGGAAGGGGUGGGGGGUGUGUAGGCUAGGAGGUUAGUUUUAACACCAGCAUGAAAAUACCAGGCUUUACUUCCAGUCCACGGCGCUUUCCAACGGGACCAAUUCAAGUGCCACUUGGAAUUAGUUCUCCUGAGGUUCGAUCAGCAGCGCAGUGGACAGGUUUGAUCCCAGAUACCACCCUACCCCCCC